AUUGCAUCCUCUCUGCCUUUAGGAGUCAACCAUUCUAUAUUCCAGAGAUGGGCUUCACAUAAUUUAACAACCGGUUCGCCCAGUAUCAAAAAUCCAAAUGAACAACAGAGGUUGGGAAAACAACAAUGCCAUCCAUCUCUAAGACAACGAUGCUUAUACAGAGCAGCUCUACCUGGAUGGCUGAGAAUCUUCAUCAGCAUUGGACUUGUGUGUUCAACCAUCUGAAAAACUCACCUGUGUGUUACAGACAGGCCGAUAUCUCUUCGUACCGCUUGUGGCGAUCCCUGGGGUAAAUCUAGGAAAAUAAGAUUUUUUAAAAGUUGAGGUAUUAGUUGACUUAAAUGCCUUUUGUCAA